GGACUACUCGGGUAUCUAAUCCCGUUCGCUCCCCUAGCUUUCGCACCUGAGCGUCAGGUACCAUCCAGGACACUGCCUUCGCCUUUGGUAUUCCUCCGGAUAUCUACGCAUUUCACCACUACACCCGGAAUUCUGUGUCCCUCUCUGGCCCUCAAGUCGAACAGUCUUCAAGGCGCUCUCCCAGUUAAGCCGGGAGCUGUAACCUCAAACUUGUCCCACCGCCUGCGUGCGCUUUACGCCCAAUAAAUCCGGACAACGCUUGCCCCCUACGUAUUACCGCGGCUGCUGGCAC
rnacentral:rRNA from 1 species